GACGAACGCUGGCGGCGUGCUUAACACAUGCAAGUCGAACGGGAGUAUUGAAGAAGCUUGCUUUAGAGAUACUUUAGUGGCGGACGGGUGAGUAACGCGUGAGGAGCUGUCCUAUGCAGGGGGACAACAGUUGGAAACGACUGCUAAUACCCCAUAAGCCGAGAGGUAAAAGGAGCGAUCCGGCAGAGGAGGUACUCGCGUCCUAUCAGCUAGUAGGUGAGGUAACGGCUCACCUAGGCGAAGACGGGUAGCCGGCCUGAGAGGGCGAACGGCCACACUGGAACUGAGAUACGGUCCAGACUCCUACGGGAGGCAGCAGUGGGGAAUAUUGGGCAAUGGGGGCAACCCUGACCCAGCGACGCCGCGUGGGUGAAGAAAUCCCUCGGGAUGUAAAGCCCUGUUGUAUGGGAAGAGCAGAAGACGGUACCAUACGAGGAAAGCCCCGGCAAACUACGUGCCAGCAGCCGCGUAAUCAUACUCGUA
rnacentral:rRNA from 1 species